AGAGUUUGAUCAUGGCUCAGGACGAACGCUGGCGGCGUGCCUAAUACAUGCAAGUCGAGCGAAUCGAUGGGAGCUUGCUCCCAUUGAUUAGCGGCGGACGGGUGAGUAACACGUGGGUAACCUGCCUGUAAGACUGGGAUAACUUCGGGAAACCGGAGCUAAUACCGGAUAGUUUCUUUUCUCGCAUGAGAGAAGAUGGAAAGAUGGUUUCGGCUAUCACUUACAGAUGGACCCGCGGCGCAUUAGCUAGUUGGUGAGGUAAUGGCUCACCAAGGCAACGAUGCGUAGCCGACCUGAGAGGGUGAUCGGCCACACUGGGACUGAGACACGGCCCAGACUCCUACGGGAGGCAGCAGUAGGGAAUCUUCCGCAAUGGACGAAAGUCUGACGGAGCAACGCCGCGUGAGCGAAGAAGGCCUUCGGGUCGUAAAGCUCUGUUGUUAGGGAAGAACAAGUACAAGAGUAACUGCUUGUACCUUGACGGUACCUAACCAGAAAGCCACGGCUAACUACGUGCCAGCAGCCGCGGUA
rnacentral:rRNA from 1 species